rnacentral:rRNA from 1 species
AAUUUUGGACAAUUGGGGAAACGUUGAUCCAGCCAUCUCGCGUGUAUGAUGAAGGCCCUCGGGUUUUAAAGUACUUUUGGCAGAGAAGAAAAGGUAUCUCCUAAUACGAGAUACUGCUGACGGUAUCUGCAGAAUAAGCACCGGCUAACUACGUGCCAUCAGCUGCGGUAAUACGUAGGGUGCAAGCGUUAAUCGGAAUUACUGGGCGUAAAGCGUGUGUAGGCGGUUCGGAAAGAAAGAUAAGAAUACCCAGGGCUCAACCUUGGAACUGCAUUUUUAAGUGACGAGCUAGAGCAUGUAAGUGGGAGGUAGAAUUACACGUGUAGCAGUGAAAUGCGUAGAUAUGUGGAGGAAUACCGAUGGAGAAGGCAGCCCCCUGGGAUAAUACUGACGCUCAGACACGAAAGCGUGGGGAGCAAACAGG